rnacentral:tRNA from 1 species
AGCGCAGUCUGGUAGCGCGCCUGCUUUGGGAGCAGGAUGUCGGGGGUUCAAAUCCCUCC